CUCCUCCAUGCUCGCCAGCUCCUGCUUCAGGUUGGUCAUUUCAUUCUGGUGCAGCUCGGUGAGGUCAUUCAGCUGCUCCUCCAGGCGCUCAUACCUGUAGCGUUCCUCUUGCAAACACUGCGUCAUGUAGGUGUAAUCCCGCUGCAGCUGUGCCUUGAGGUCCUCCAUGGAGUCCUCCAGGUGCGACUGGCUGUCCUUGAUCUCCCGCAGCUCCUCCAGGAUGGUG
rnacentral:lncRNA from 1 species